UCCAAGGCCGGUGGAGGAUGUGCAGGUGGCGUUCACGCUCCGCGGCCGUGCGGAACUUGCCUUUGCAGAAGGGACAACGGAAGGCAGCACCCUGGAGACUGAGACCUGAUGGUACUUCACAGCCCCUUUGUCCAGAGCUGCUCCAAGCCAGGCUUUCCUUAUCUCUGCAGGGGAGAGGUUCCCCCACACAAGAGGAGGAUUACACUGGCUCUGAGCUACACAGCCUGGAGUGUGGGGCACAGAGGCGGGGCUAGAGCCAUCUGCACAGACAAGAGGCCCAGCACAUGGUCUGGAAAGGAAAGGGUUAAAGUUUUCCAGGAUAAGACUUCAAGGCCUGGUCAUCCUGGCUGCAGUGUUCAGGGAAGGUCUUUGCACAGAAAGGAAAAGUCGAAGGCACUCUAGCCUACAAAGGAGGUCAGCGUUGGGGAUCAGAGAUUGAAUACAGAAUCUCCAAGCUGAUGGGGAACCUAAAGAUCACCUAGUCCAAUCUCCUUAUUUUAAAAAUAGGGAAACUGAGUCUCAGAGAGGUGAAGAGAUUUGUCUAAGGUCACAAAAUUAAUCUUUACAGCCCAGGUUUAUAUUCCUAGGCCAAAUCUCUCUCUGCUAUAUCAUGCUGACUGACCACACCAAAAUACAGAAUUACCCAAACAGGUAGAAGAGAUAACCUAAGAUUACCCGUUGUCUUCCUGCCUUCACACAGAACUAUACUUAACCUAGGACACAUUAUUAAAAAAAUCUUCCUUAUAGUGAGGGUUGUGGAUCUGAAAUGUGUUACUAAUGAAGAUUAAUCCAUGUUCUUCCCUUUGACUUUUAAUAACAGGAAAGACUAUCUGAACCAGGGGAAGAUCAUUCUUGUGUUGAGGUGGAGAUAUAAUGACCUCUGGAGGACCCUGAAUGUCCAAAAAUUCUAUAUGGAAUGUGCUAAGCCUCCAUCUGUUAUCUGGGAUCUAUGACCCUUUAGGCUGAGAGAGCUUUAUUAUUAGUGUAAUGUGGGACAAAGGAGUCCCCUGUGUGUGGGUCACUGAGCCCACAGACAAAUGUGUCUCACUCCUAACACUAACAUCUCUUCCCUCACCCAAUUCUGGAACCACUGGGGGUGGAGGGACAUGUUUUCUUGGGACCAAGAACCUGAAAGAACCUAAAGAGAGUUAUGUUUAGUAUCUUUUGGGUUUGGGAGAACAAGCAGAAUAAGUGAUUGCAAGAUUCAGUACCAUGGAGAGUACAAUGGACUACCAGAGGGGUACCUUUGGCCACCUCAGCACCACUGAAAAGAAAAUGGUAUACAUCAGAGUGGCCAUGUUUGUCCUCUCAACACCAAGAGAGGGCACUGGGACCCAGAAAGAGGACAAUUUCUCAUCUAUAUACCAAAGAAAAAGUGAGACAGUAGAGGGGCUCUUUUGUACUUCUAAAUGUCACUGAAAAUUUUUUUAAAUGUCAUGGAAAUAAAUGGAACUGGAUUAAUUUACUAGA